UGCACAAUGGCACAGUGGUUAGCAUUACUGCUUCCCAAUAAGGAAGUUCCAGGUUCGAGCCUGGCUGCCCAG